UUUGAGAAAACACACAAAAAUAUUAAAGAUAGGUUCGAAUUCGACAAUUCGGGGAGAAUACAAAACUUGACCAGAUUUCUGAUUCCCUCACUCAUUCAGGUGUGACCAUGGGGCUCUGUGAUGGCCUGUCCCACUGUAAAUGGACUUGUGCUGAUGGACUUGCUGGGUGGCGCCGCCUUGCUGGUGGGAGUCUUUGUCCCUCUGGAUAUCAAAGGCAGAGACUUUGGGGAUCUCCUGGUGUACACAGGGGCACUGUUCAUGCUCAUGUCUCUGGGUGCUGGGGUACAGCGGCAACAUUGACGGCCUUGCCUCCAGCAAAGAGCUGGGCCACAUUGGCACCACUGUGGACCAACUGGCCCGCACCCUCAGCCGCAAGAUGCAUAUCCAUCACUCCAGGGAACCUUAGGGCUGUGGCUGUCCAUAAAAACAGGCUUUCCAUCUUCACGUUGGUGGGUGGAUGCCAGACACGGAUCAAUUACCCCCGAUGUCCCCCCGGGGUGUCAGGGUAGCCUAGUGGUUAGAGCGUUGGACUAGUAACCGAAAGGUUGCAAGUUCAAAUCCCCGAGCUGACAAGGUACAAAUCUGUCGUUCUUCCCCUGAACAGGCAGUUAACCCACUGUUCCUAGGCCGUCAUUGAAAAUAAGAAUUUGUUCUUAACUGACUUGCCUAGUAAAAUAAAAAAAAAUAAAAAAACAUUGAACCACUUCAAUAGUUCUUGUUCUAGUGCAGUAUUUUACAUUUUCUUCUGAGACUUGAGUCCAGCAGUAUUAGUGUUUGAUGGGUAAUAAUAGCCGUGUUUUAUGCCAAAGGGUUGACUGCACUUACCUAACAUGUAA